CAAGUGAAUGAGUCUAAAUGUUUCCUGCACAUUUCUGUUUGUGUUAAGAAAAUUUAAAGAUCUGUCUGUUUGUGCAACGGUUGCUUUGCGGAUUGUAUUUUACGAAGACGGAAACUUCCAGGGGCGCUCUCAUGAGAGCAGCAGCGACUGUCGACCUUCACAGCUACUUCAACAAAUGCAACUCCAUCAAGGUGGAGAGUGGUUGCUUUAUGGUUUACGAGAGGCCCAACUCCAUGGGCAACCAGUAUUACUUGAGGAGAGGAGAGUACUCUGUUAACCAGCAUAUGAUUGGCAUCAUCUUGCUGCAUGAUCCCACAGGAGCAGCUCAGCAUGUCUGACUUCAGCUCCUGCAACAUGAUGGACAGUCACAGGCUGCUGCAUGAUCAGUUCAACAACAGGGGCCCGGAGGGUACAGCGACUGGGGAGACGUCAGCCCAAGGAUCGGCUACAUCAGAAGAAUCAUCGACUUCAACUGAUGCCAGGCUUCGUUUAAAUGCAUCUUUCUUUGAGUUCUGUUUCCAAAAUAAACUGCUUAAUAAAACGUU